CCCUGAUAGCUCAGAUGGUGAAGAGUCUGCCUACAAUGCAGGAGACCCAGGUUUGAUCCCUGGGUCAGGAA
rnacentral:tRNA from 1 species